rnacentral:lncRNA from 1 species
CAAUGCUUUAAAGAAUUAUAGAGUGCUAUAGGAAUAAAGGAAAAGGGGAUUCAUUUUGACUGAAGAGAUACAGGAGGAUGAAACUGGGUUAGCUCUUGAAAGAAGAGAACUAUGACAACAAUUGCUGUGGGUAACAAUAUCCCAGACCGAUAGAAUACCUUGGACCUAAGCAACUAGGAUGAUUGUGCCUUUAAGUGAAAGAGAAGAACAGGAAGAACAGCUCCCUCCAUCAGGAAACUUAAGACCAACUCCAUUUGAUCUGAUCAGAGGACGUCUAUAAGGACCAACACAGUGUCACAUUCAAAAGCAUCUUUCUCCCCCUCCAAUCAACCAGUGUCCUGGGGCCUUCUUACCUCUGGGUGAAUGAAUAAAUGGAAUAUUGUUCAAUGAUAAAAAGAAAUGAACUAUCAAGCCAUGAAAAGACGUGGAGAAACUUCAAUGCAUAUUGCUAAGUGAACAGUCUUAUAGUGCUACAUACUGUAUGAUUCCAACUAUAUGACAUUCUGGAAGACGCAAAACUACGGAGACAGCAAAAAGAUUAGUGAUGGCCAGGGGUUGAAGGGAGGGUAAAAUGAGUAGAUGGAGCAGAGAGGAUUUUUAGGCAGUGAAACUGUGCUGUAAGGAUGUACUGUAAGGGUGGGUGGACACAUUUGUCAAAACCCGUGAAUGUACAAGAGUAAAUUCUAAUUCUAAUAAAUUUCAGGUUUUAGUUCAUACUGGUUCAUCAGUUGUAACAAAUGUGCCACACUAAUGCAAAACAUUAAUAAUAAAGGAAAAUGGGGGUUGGGUGGGAAGUGUAUAUGGAAACUAUAUUUUCUGUUCAAUUUCCUAUAAACCUAAAACUAUUAUCAAAAACAGUCUAUUAUUUUUUAAAAGUGUAUGUGAAAGCCAUUUCUAAGUAAAGCACUAAAGAAGGAUAUUUUGGCUACAAGUAAUAGAAAACUCAGUUAAAAUAUAUGUGUGGUUUUUUGUUUGUUUUUCAAGACAGGGACUCCCUCUGUCCCCCAGGCUGGAGUGUGCAGUGAUACGAUCAUAGAUUACGGCAACCUCGAACUCCUGGGCUCAAGGGAUCCUCCCACCUCAGUCUCCCCAAUAGCUGGAACUACAGGCCCACAUCACCAUACCCAGCUAUUUUUAAAUGGUUUCGUAGAGAUGGGUUCUUGCUAUGUUGCCAGGGCUGAUUUUGAAUUCCUGGCCUCAAGUGAUCCUCCCACUUGGUCUUUCAAAAUGCUGGGCACCACUGUGGCUGGCCUAUAUGUUUUCUUGAUUGUGCACACCUAACAGUAAAAGAAAAAUUGUUUGAGAAUGCACUCAACAAUUUAUAUAAAAGUAUGUAUUCAUUUAUAUAUAAAGUAUACACAUUACCUGUAUCAAUGUUAUGUACAUUUUAUAAACAUACAUAAAAAUACAAUUUUA